rnacentral:rRNA from 1 species
AGUGAACGCUGGCGGUAGGCCUAACACAUGCAAGUCGAACGGCAGCACAGUACUAGCUUGCUCUUACGGGUGGCGAGUGGCGGACGGGUGAGGAAUAAAUCGGAAUCUACUUUUUCGUAGGGGAUAACGUAGGGAAACUUACGCUAAUACCGCAUACGACCUACGGGUGAAAGCAGGGGAUCUUCGGACCUUGCGCGAUUGAAUGAGCCGAUGUCGGAUUAGCUAGUUGGCGGGGUAAAGGCCCACCAAGGCGGGGAUCCGUAGCUGGUCUGAGAGGAUGAUAGGCGACAUGGGAACGGGACCAGGGUCCAGAGGCCUACGGGAGGGAGCAGUCUGGAAUAGUGGGCAGUGGUGGGAAAUCUGAUCCAGCGGUACCGCGUGGGUUAAGAAGGCGCUGGGGGUGGGAAGCCGGUUUGUUGGGAGAGAAAAGCAGCAGGUUAAGAACCAGCGGGUCUGACGGUACCCAAAGAAUAAGCACCGGCUAACUUCGUG